CUUGAGGCGUGGCUUCCGGAGCUAACGCGUUAAAUCGACCGCCUGGGGAGUACGGCCGCAAGGUUAAAACUCAAAUGAAUUGACGGGGGCCCGCACAAGCGGUGGAGCAUGUGGUUUAAUUCGAUGCAACGCGAAGAACCUUACCUGGUCUUGACAUCCACAGAACUUUCCAGAGAUGGAUUGGUGCCUUCGGGAACUGUGAGACAGGUGCUGCAUGGCUGUCGUCAGCUCGUGUUGUGAAAUGUUGGGUUAAGUCCCGCAACGAGCGCAACCCUUAUCCUUUGUUGCCAGCGGUUAGGCCGGGAACUCAAAGGAGACUGCCAGUGAUAAACUGGAGGAAGGUGGGGAUGACGUCAAGUCAUCAUGGCCCUUACGACCAGGGCUACACACGUGCUACAAUGGCAUAUACAAAGAGAAGCGACCUCGCGAGAGCAAGCGGACCUCAUAAAGUAUGUCGUAGUCCGGAUUGGAGUCUGCAACUCGACUCCAUGAAGUCGGAAUCGCUAGUAAUCGUAGAUCAGAAUGCUACGGUGAAUACGUUCCCGGGCCUUGUACACACCGCCCGUCACACCAUGGGAGUGGGUUGCAAAAGAAGUAGGUAGCUUAACCUUCGGGAGGGCGCUUACCACUUUGUGAUUCAUGACUGGGGUGAAGUC
rnacentral:rRNA from 1 species